rnacentral:rRNA from 1 species
GACGAACGCUGGCGGCGUGCUUAACACAUGCAAGUCGAACGGAAAGGCCCUGCUUUUGUGGGGUGCUCGAGUGGCGAACGGGUGAGUAACACGUGAGUAACCUGCCCUUAACUUUGGGAUAACUUCAGGAAACUGGGGCUAAUACCGGAUAGGAGCUCCUGCUGCAUGGUGGGGGUUGGAAAGUUUCGGCGGUUGGGGAUGGACUCGCGGCUUAUCAGCUUGUUGGUGGGGUAGUGGCUUACCAAGGCUUUGACGGGUAGCCGGCCUGAGAGGGUGACCGGCCAAAUUGGGAUGGGGAUAGGGCCAAAACCCCAACGGGGGGGAGCAGGGGGGAAAUUUGAAAAAGGGGGGGAGGCAGGAUGAAGCAACCCCGGGGGGGGGAGGACGGCCUUCGGGUUGUAAACCGCUUUCGCCUGGGACGAAGCGGGAGGGACGGUAAUGGGUAAAGAAGCACCGGCUAACUACGU